UACGAAGGGGGCUAGCGUUGCUCGGAAUUACUGGGCGUAAAGCGUGCGUAGGCGGUUCGUUAAGUUCGUUGUGAAAGCCCCGGGCUCAACCUGGGAAUGGCAAUGGAAACUGGCGGGCUGGAGUAUGGCAGAGGGGGGUGGAAUUCCGCGUGUAGCAGUGAAAUGCGUAGAGAUGCGGAGGAACACCGAUGGCGAAGGCAGCCCCCUGGGCCAAUACUGACGCUCAGGCACGAAAGCGUGGGGAGCGAACAGG
rnacentral:rRNA from 1 species